GUCUUUGUGGAUUUUCCUCUUGCUUCUCUCCCAGCAAGUGCUGGGGCUGGGGUGGGAGUGUAUCAGUCCUUACUGCAUGCAUUUGCGACUAGCAGAUGAAAGCUGCUGCUGGAGCCAGUCUAAUUGGAGAGAAUUGCAGUUUAGCGGAUUUCUUACACAAGUAGUAUAUUGACAACAUCUCCUUCCCCCUCCUGAGACUCCUCCCAUGUGACGCUCACCCCCUCACGUGACCCCUCCCUCUUUAAUCUACAUAUGCAAAUCUAAGUGCUGCCUGCUGAGUUCAUUUAUGGACAAUGCCUCUCUCACCAAACUGCCUUCCGCUGGAACUCUGGGAAGGUUCACCGGCUCAAGAUUAUCACGCUGAGGACCGAACUUACUUAGGGGAACACACUCAGUUCCUAGCAGCCAGCCUGCCCUCAUCUUCUCCUUCUGAGAGCAUUAAGAAGUAGCAACUUGGAAAGGAAACUGAGCUAUGGUUCAAUCUGGUUCACACACCAAGCCUUUGAAAGCCAUGCUGUCUUGGUGUUUGUGUUUUCUCAAGUCUUACCUUGUGUUCUAGGUUGGUCUGUUUCCAUGGAGCGAUCCUCCUGCAGUAGCCUCCCAAGUCAUGGGAUUUCAUGCCUAUACCACCUAGCUUGGGAAUAUGGAAUUCCUAAGAACUCUAAUUCCUUCCAUAAUGGUAUUCAGUUCCGCUUCUUAUUGCCAACUGUAGCCAUUUUUGCAGAGUUUUGGAUUCUCUUUUGUUAGCAUCAAGGUAAUUUCAGAGCAAUGACUCUUGUAAAUUUAAAGUACUUACCCAGAAAAAAUGGGGAUUGGGAGGACAAUCUACUAAAUCAAACCACUUACUAAAACUAGAAUUAGAUAAAAAUAUUAAUUUAAAACUGAAAAAUAAAUGCCCAAAGCUAAGUCUGCUUCCCAUGUCUGUACCCUAACCCUUGUCAAGGCUGCCUCUGAGCCCUUCCCCACCAAAGGCUUGGAGUAUAGACUCCACAAACAUUUUUCCAGGGAUCAGCCCACACCACCCACGGCUAGCCACACGUCUCGCCUCCUCUAUUUGAAAAAUAAAAACAAACCAUCUUCAA
rnacentral:lncRNA from 1 species